ensembl:lncRNA
UUUCUAUAAUAUCUUUUAAAAUGGCCACUUGUAUUUUAAUAGCUGUGAAAGACACUGGGGUCAGAAAGAGACAUGACUGAGUGACUAAUACAAAGACAUUAGACUUCUUUUUAGGUAAAGAGAGUGGGAAUAGUAAGCUGUGUGUUAUUUAGCACAUUUUGUUCCUUUCUGAGUCUGCUUUUCUGGAGUCCUGACAUCCUCUACAAACAAAAUCAAUGUUAUGGAUGGCCUCAUUUUGGACAGGAAUGAAGUGAGACCAAAGUUUGGCUAGUGUCUAGGGUAAUGACUGUCAGAACAUUCCAGAGUGGUGCUGAGGAAAUCCGGCCCACACACAUCUUCAAGUUUGAGGAGAAGCAAAUCUGUGCCUUUACCAGCAGGACCUUCUAGGCCUGGUGGGGAGCCAGACACUCUUUUCCAGGAGAGUUUGGGAGGUGCUACUACUGUAGCUGACUUAGGAAGAUGUGACAGGAGCCAGAAGAGGUGAAAAUGUCUGGAAGUCAGCACAGGGCUGGGGGGCCAGUGAGCAGUGCUCAGGAAAUAUUUUUGAAUGAAUGAAUGACAAAGCAUUAAUUCCUGCCCUUACAAGCCUAACAGCUCCAUUUCCCAGGGGUUUCCCCUUAGCACUUCGACUUUGCCACCAAGGGAAAAAUAAGAUACACCAUUGCCCUUCAAGAAACUUACAAGACAGGACAAGACUCAGGAAAUGACCAAAGACAAGGGAAGGCCCAGUCCAUUGAGACGAGAGGAACUUAGGGAAAUUUCAGGGAAUUUCUGGUGAUCCCUUCCAAAUCACAGCAAAACUUUGGGUUAGGCAAGGGUUGUGGACACUUCUUGAUGAACCGAUUGAAACUUUCAAAGUCCCCUGCUGCUUGUGGCCCUAGCAGAAGGCCCUUAAGAGUUCCAGGAUGAAGGCAGUUGCUGUCCUAGGGUUCAGUACCCGCAGCCGGGCCAGCAGCGAGGCAGCCUCGGCCGGUCCAGGGCCUCCGCCGAGGCCAGUCCGCGCCCCGCGCCGCUCGCGACCGACCGGCCCGGACGCGGGCGGACAGCGCGGAGCCCCGGGCGAGCCUUUGUGCCGCCGGCAGCUGCCUUUGUGCGACGCGGGUUCGCGCGCCCCUCCAGGCGGCCGCCUCUGCAAGGAUCGCCCCCGCUGCGCUCCAUACCUGCUCCUUUGUCACCAGCUGCCGAAGAAUUCAGAAAAUCAAAUUUAUUUCCCGAUUACCGAUUACCGCCGGGACGCCCCUUUGUGCGGUGAGGCCUCUUUAACGGUUGCGAUUCCAGCCCACUCUGUGAAGAAGGCUUUUUAAGGAAAAUGCGCCCCGCUGACUCCUGGCCCCCGUGGGAACUUGCGGGCGAGAUCUUCUCGCAAUAAAGACGCUAACGAGCCCCAAGACGUGGGCUUGUCAAGUGUCCUGCCUGCUAACGGGGAUAAAUAAAUAGGCCUCUUGAGUUCGGAUAGUGUAUUUCCUUUUCCCCCCCUUAGGAAUGAAUGGAUGGAUGUUGACUCCAAGGCUUGCCAGCCCAGCGCUGCCCUCAGCCUGCGGGUAAAUCCAAUUUCAGCCUCUGAGUGCUCAGCGCUAUCAGCACCUCGCCACUGCCGGAAGCCACAGGCCAAUCUGAAAAAGUUCCUCUUCCACCGGAUUCUCAGGUGUCUUAGGCACCUGAAGAUAAACGAUGGGAGCCAGUGGUCAUGGCGGUGAAUUGGAUACCUACACCAGACAAAGCCUGAGAGGCGUAAUCAAAUAAGGGAACCACUUGAACUGAACUCCCAGCAGGAGCAGGAGGGAGGCCUGGAGAGGUUACAGGUCAACUGCUAUGCUGGUGUGAACCAGGGACAACUAUUGAGAGCCCACAUCUGCUGUUUCACCUUGAGACAAGGAACCUGUUCACACUGGAUGAGCCCAUGUCUAUGCAUGUCCUCUUUCAGAUGGCCCUGAAGGUGACAUAGGCAGUGAGACUUUGAAGAUCACAUCAAAGCCAUCAAAGCACAGAAUGUUGGUGCCGGAUGGCCCUUUCAAGUUCACGGUCCACUCCAUCCCAAAGACAGAUGGGAAAACUGAAGCCCAUGCUAAGAGAAGUUCCUUCCCCAAGGCCACAGGCAGAAAUGUUUGCCCUCCUAGUACAACCAUUAUUCUGCUGUAUCAGUCUGCCAUUUAUGACAAAGUCCUCCUUAUAUGACAGAGAACUAUUUAUAAUGCUAGUAUUGAGGGAUAUGAUUAGUACAUUUGCUGUGGGUUGAUAUGUCAGAUUUGGCCUGUGAGCAGCUGUUACAUUUAGAGAAACACGUUUGAAUCCAGAAGUCAUCCAAACUCUGUGAUAAAAACAGUAGACCAUGUCAUGCUAGGAUCCUACGUGAUUAUGACUGAUUUGUCCUCUAAGUUGUUUAUUUAUCUCAUUGUUGGGCUUUUAGUUUAUUUCCUUGUCACUUUUUCUAUACAUAGGUUUGACAGCUGUGUAAUCACAGAAUACUGUAUAAUCUACUUUAUAUUUUGUUUUUUUGAGUAAAACCUUCUUACUUUGGCCAAACCACUCUUGCCUUUAAAAACACUGAUAUAUAUUGCAUGACUACAAAGGGGAACAAAAAAUAAUUGUGAUCACGUUGAAGUUCCAUACUCUUUUCCAAACAGUUAUUAAC